AUUGAACGCUGGCGGCAUGCUUUACACAUGCAAGUCGAACGGUAACAGGCCGCAAGGUGCUGACGAGUGGCGAACGGGUGAGUAAUGCAUCGGAACGUGCCCAGUCGUGGGGGAUAACUACACGUAAGAGUAGCUAAUACCACAUACGAUCUAUGGAUGAACGCGGGGGACCGUAAGGCCUCGCGCGAUUGGAGCGGCCGAUGUCAGAGUAGGUAGUUGGUGGGGUAAAGGCUCACCAAGCCAAAGAUCUGUAGCUGUUCUGAGAGGACGACCGGCCACACUGGGACUGAGACACGGCCCAGACUCCUACGGGAGGCAGCAGUGUGGAAUGUUGGACAAUGGGCGCAAGCCUGAUCCAGCAAUGCCGCGUGCAGGAAGGAGGCCUUCGGGUUGUAAACUGCUUUUGUACGGAACGAAACGGCUCUGGUUAAUACCCGGGGCUAAUGACGGUACCGGAAGAAGAAGCACCGGCUAACUACGUG
rnacentral:rRNA from 1 species